rnacentral:rRNA from 1 species
CCUUUGACGUUAGCGGCGGACGGGUGAGUAACACGUGGGUAACCUACCUAUAAGACUGGGAUAACUUCGGGAAACCGGAGCUAAUACCGGAUAAUAUUUCGAACCGCAUGGUUCGAUAGUGAAAGAUGGUUUUGCUAUCACUUAUAGAUGGACCCGCGCCGUAUUAGCUAGUUGGUAAGGUAACGGCUUACCAAGGCGACGAUACGUAGCCGACCUGAGAGGGUGAUCGGCCACACUGGAACUGAGACACGGUCCAGACUCCUACGGGAGGCAGCGCA